rnacentral:rRNA from 1 species
AUACGGAGGAUGCGAGCGUUAUCCGGAUUUAUUGGGUUUAAAGGGAGCGUAGGUGGGAUAUUAAGUCAGCUGUGAAAGUUUGGGGCUCAACCUUAAAAUUGCAGUUGAUACUGGUUUCCUUGAGUACGGUACAGGUGGGCGGAAUUCGUGGUGUAGCGGUGAAAUGCUUAGAUAUCACGAAGAACUCCGAUCGCGAAGGCAGCUCACCGGGCCGGAACUGACACUGAUGCUCGAAAGUGCGGGUAUCAAACAGGAUUAGAUACCCUGGUAGUCCGCACAGUAAACGAUGAAUACUCGCUGUUUGCGAUACACGGUAAGCGGCCAAGCGAAAUCGUUAAGUAUUCCACCUGGGGAGUACGCCGGCAACGGUGAAACUCAAAUGAAUUGACGGGG